AUAAAAAAAUCGAACGGUCAGAGUGCAAGAUGCUUUCUGCUUUUUUGAUUCUGCUAGUGAUUGAAUAUUGAAUAGUGAAUCAUUGUCUACUGUGCCUUGUCAUGAUGGUAAGCGCCUAAGUGCUUAACUAUGAAGCUCACUGCAAACCGUAGUUUGCCAUCAAUCGUCAACGUUUUCCAUACAAAACAGCUGCUGCUAUUCGUUUGUCAUAUCCACCGAAUAUAAGAGCUGAUACAUGCGCAUAACCACGGAAGUUCCAUAGCAUGGUUAAUAAAGAUCAGUACCAAAAAGGAUGCCGGAAGAUAGCGGCCGCAUCAAGCACCGCAAUUAUUACAACUAGGCUACGAACACCAGUACUCUUUACCAGCAACAACACUUACGGCAUGCUCAGCGAGAAGCUUUGAAGAGCGCUCAAUAACAGGAUAAAAUAAACUCUAGAAUUAAGUUAAAACUAAAUUUCAAAUCAAAGAAAUAAAAUGAAUUGUAAAACCUUUAAUUGUAUUGCAUUUCUAUUGUUGUAUUGGUGUGAGAUACAUUCCGAAUCGUAUUGUAUUUUUGAUG